CCAAACCAAUAUUUAAAAUUGAAUCAUAUUUGUGCAAAUAUAUUUAUUGACCAAUAAAACUGGAUCUAUUUAGCCCCUUCUUUGUCCUUGUUAGAACAGAGUCCCAACAGUUAUGUAAAGCAGUAGUGUUUUUUUUUUUAAUUUCCCCUUUAACCUCUUGACUUUUUUCUUUCAGCAUUUGAACAAACAUGUAGCAACACCUCAACCAUCAAAAGUCACAGAAUAUUCACACUAUUUCCUACUUGAAAGGAAAAAAUCAGAUGGGAAAAGAUACCAUCACCUGCCUGAGAAGAGAAAUAGAUCCCUGGCUGAUCCUGUCACUGGGAGAAGAAGAGAGCUGCCGAUUAGGAAAGACAAGGAGAUGAGAAGUAAUGCAGUCCUUGAUUGAUGCCCAGCAGAACCAAGGGAGGGAAGGAGGGAGAGAAGAAAAUAUCUGAC